GCCCACGCCGCUCCGCGCUCCCUUCGCCGCGUCCCCGAGCGGCUGCCGCCUGACCGAGGCUUCAUGCUUUGCACGCAGCCGGCCUCCUCUCAAAGAAAGCGCGGGGCUGAUGCGGAGAAGAGGAUGAAAGCAAAACGUGCUGCACGCAAUAAAAGCCAGUGAUGGGGAUAGACGGAUCUUUUGCAGACCUGCAGCCUGAUUCUCCUUUGCAUGGUGUUGGUUUAGCCCCACUACCUGUGGUGGCACCAAUCCUCACACCACUUGAGCACCAGAAGAACAGAAGAAGGAAACCCACCCUCAGUGCAAGCCCAGGGAAGUCAGCUCCUGCACAGCUCACUCUUACUUCAGACCGUAGCCCUGUGCAGAGUGGGCCCAGCGACAGGAAGGAAACCUUGCAGGAUGCUCCUUGCACCAAGCAGCUCGCGCAGCAUUGUCACCUUAUGGGGCCACAUCAUGGGGGCUCCCAGAGCACCAAAAGCACAGGUGUGUGCAUGGAAGUGAAGGGAACGUAAGGUGAGAAUGUGCUCGUUUAAUACAUGCAUUACUAUUCUGUAAAAAAAAAAUCCUUUUAUAGUCUAUUUCUUCCUUCACCAAAGCAUUUGGCUACUGCAGUAGGAUUGAAAAGUAAGAGGAGUCGAACUUCUACAGACUUAUAGCAGCAGUUAAUAACAAAGGAAAGUCCUUGUGUAGCUGUUUCCUGGUGUUAUAAUGUUUUGAUAACAAUGGUACACAAAGGCUUGUUUUGUUUAGCAUGCGCCAUGUCACUGUUUUUCAGACAAUGUCUCGAUUCUCUAAGUCAAAGACAAAGUCUUGAUUCUUUCAGUUUCAGGCAAAAACCCUGGACAAAUGUGUGACAAAAAUACAGAUCUGGAAUGUCCCAAACUGCAGAGGAAUAAGGAAGGGAAUUAGUAUCAAAUUCUCCUUCCAACUAUGAUGAAAAGAAGGGAUCGACAAAUAUGCAUUUUCUGACCAGAAGGGCACAUUUAGGAAAGAUGUUUCUCCUCACCAUUCCCUGGCUAAUUCUGAAAUCCUAAAGAUGAAAAUACCCUUCCUGUUCUCUGCACACAAUACCUACCCCAGGCAGAUCUGUCCUCACUGGGCUGGGCUUGGCUCUCCCACAGCAGCAGGUUUCUCUUCAAGAGGAGAGCAGCUUUGUUUACCACCCCCAGGUGCAAACCUCAUUAACUGAUGUUUACUUCUUUUGUAUUUUCAGCUUUUGGAGCUGGGUUAAUGGAUGGUGAAGAUGGUGGUGGCAGGGAGAAUGGUAAGGAAAAUUCAGGAGCUGGUUUUACAUCUUUCAGUUUUGUAGGCUCAUGGGCAAAAUGGCUCAGAGCCAUUCAGCUAUGGGAAAAAAAAGGGAAAAAAAGAAUUAUUUUGGAUAGGGCUUUUUUUUUUUUUUAAUGAUGAUGGGAAGCAAAGCAUAGCCAAACCCCUGACAUUUCAUGAGUUAUAAAUAUUGUACAAAAUUCUACUUCUGGCACCGGAAAAUGCUUUCUCCUGUUGUUCAAAGUGACCCCAGAUGCUGAUGUACUUAGUGUACUGUGCAAGCACCCGGAUUGGAAUGACAAAGCGAAGUAAUUGAGUUUACAUUCAUCUGUCAAUAUUCCUAAGGGACAGGCUGUUCAGACUGCCAAGUCUGCUCUGCGUAUGCAUGCAUAACUUUAGCGGGUCGGAGAUUCCCACAGCGGAAUCUUCUCCGUGAGCAGGGGUUCUCUGCUGCCACAACCUGGUGGAGGCCGUGACCAAUCCCUUUCUGACUGUUCCCUAUCUCCUGCAGGACUGGCAGAAAUAACUUUCCAGAGGAUCUGGGUAUUUUAGGUUUUAAAUAGCUAUAUAUUUCACUGACUGCUGUCUCUCAUUUGAAAUAGUUCCAUGAAAAGGGAUCUUGACCAUACAAACAGCAGCAAUUUCUAUCCCAAAUACUGGAGUGUUUCAAUGCCCAUGAAAAAAGCAAACAAGGCACAUGUGAGAGAGGAAGCUACUAUGGCCAGUGUCUAGCACAUUUUGGAAAUACAUGGAAGAAAGCAGAAAAGAUGAGAGAAUCCAAGAGACAAAGCAGCAGUGGAAUCAUAGAAUCAUUAAGUCUGGAAAAGAUCACUAAGUUCAUCUAGUCCAACCACCAGCCCAUCCCCAGCAUGCCCACUAACCCAUGUCCCUCAGUGCCAAUGGGAGAGGCAAGCUGGUGAGAAAGGGGUAAGCAGUCUUCUACUUAAAGUGACAGAUGUCCUUCGCUCAGCAGCUAUCCUCAACCAUGCCAGUGUCACAGGCUAAGCAGCCCUCACAAAACUUGUCUGCACAGAGACUGACCCAAGCCAACAUCUUCUGUAAGGGAAAGCAAACAGGAGAGUGGGCACAUUCGCCUCUUUUAAGGCUGGAAGAUUGCCACAUAUCCAAACUAUGUUUGCAAACCCAGACCUUGGCCUGCUCUAGGCCUUUAGGGCACCUCCUCUGUAUUCCUGCCCUAUAAAGAAAGGGAAGUGAUUAAGGUUAGUGUCUCAUUCCUCCGCUCACCUCUGCUCACUGCAGCAAUACAGCUGUGCUCCUCAAAUUUUCUUGCUCAACCUCAGAUUCCUUCACUCAUCCUUGAUUCAGCCUAAGGGAAUGUCAUUUGUGAUGAAUAAGAAACCUGGCAGCAAUGACUUUUUCCUCUCUUUGUUCUGUGGAUGGGGUAAGUUAUGGUAAAAAAACAUGAGACCUUUAUACCCACCACCUCCCUUCACCUCCCAGAGAGAUGGCCAAAAUGUACCUUGGCACCAGCACCAAAGACAAAUGUCAAUAUUUUUCCCUGGCUGUUAGAAACAAAAUGUUUCCCGGUGUCCACAGAGCCUUUUCCCUGGGCUGCUGGCCUCCAGGCUGCUCUCUCCACCUCAGGAUGCAUCCAGCCUGUGUCUAGGAUUCCUGGAGCAUCCUGUGGAAAUGCACAGGGACUCGAGUGUCCCCCUUUUACCAGCAGCAAGUUAUGGAAGGGCCAUGACAUGAGUGCCAGUGCUCAUCACCCUCAUAGCAUGCAGAGCCUUGGAGCCCUGAAACACUGUUUCCAGCUGCCUGAAUGUAUCCAUGGUAAAGACUCAGCUUUAGAGCAGUCCAGUAGUUUUUCUGUUUUGGAAUCCUUAUGUUUUGCCAAAAAUAUUUAGUAUUAUUUGAUCUUAGCUUUGUUUCCCAGAAUUCUGUCAAGGAAUACCGUAACAAAUAUAGCAAUAUCUUCAGGAAAGAAAGAAAUCCAUGCCUCUCAUCCUGGAUUACUUUUGUAACAAUGAAGAAUGAUACAGUGAUGAACAGCUACCAAAUUUUAUUUCAGAAGAAUAUUGAUAGAAAAUUAAGAAUAUCACAGGAAAAGGGCUUAAGUGUUCAUUGGUGCCUAUGGGAAAUGCUGAUCACCUACAUGGUUCAGUAAUCCAGUGUAUACGGGAUAUCUGUUGGAUAAUGCAAGUAUUCCCUAUGCAGUCAUUUAACCUUCCCCACCCAAAAGCAGAAGCUAAGCCCAUUUGUAUAAUUCCCACAUCACCAACUACGACAAAGCAGAUGUUUCAGCACAUGUUUAGAAGGAUUCUUCUCAGUCCAGUAUGAAGAAGAAAUAUCAGAGAGAAAGGCAGAAUCAUUCACCCUCCAGAAAAGAAUUAUUUGGCUGCUGUGAGGCUAUUGCUCCUCCCAUGAGAGCAGAUGCAUGCAGCCAGCAAGUAGUCAGAGUUUUCUUAAUAUCUGGGAUAAAAUCCUAGCUGUCUAAGUGAGAACUGUUUUGUCCUAUAUGGAGGGAUAUAUCUUCUCGUUAUGUAUGUACACUGCUCAAUGUGGGAGUGAAGAAUAACUGCCUAACCAAUGUCAGAUUAGGACAUCCAUAGGAACAUCUUGCUCACCAGAAGUGUGCUUAGUGGACUGCUGAUGGAUGUCUUUGCUUCAGCAGACAGUAAAUAAAAUUGGUUCUUAUGUCUUGAGAUGUGAGCUGAUGGCCAGCACCUUGAAGAACUGGCAGUGUGCCUCCUUCAGGUCUUACCAUCCUUUCCUGUUUACUCUAAGACAGUUCAAAAACAGCAACAGAAAGCACCAGCAACACUGCUUAGGUACAGAGAGAUUAUCCAGCUGAAUGCUGGAAGGUAACUGCCAUGUACUGCAAGUACUGCAGGCUUCCCCAGAUCCAUCCAUUUUCUCGUUCCUCCAUUGGGAAUUGGAGACAUUUCAAAUGAGUGAAUGCACAAAGUGUGCUCUGCUGCUGUUGGUUCCAAAGCAAGCAAACAAAAAAUGCUCAGAACUUACUGCUAGUGCAAAGGCUGUGCUCUAACUUCCAUGCAAAGACAACAAAAUACAGCUCUGAGCUGUUGUAUGCAAAGUCAGCUUCAUUGUGCUGUGCACGACUGUCCUGCUCCUCUAGAGGCUGAGUUAAUUUCAAGCCCCAAAGAUAACCUUGGAGCCCUGUGCUGGCUCAGCAUACUGAAUUUACAAAGCUGAACUCCCUAUCCAUGCAGUGUCCCUACCAGUGCUAGCAAGCAGGGGGGAUCUUCAUUUAAAAUCUGAGUUUCUCUCAGCACUGCUCAUUAUUGCACAUUCAGUAAGACAAGAAAUCUUUGCAACUGUCAUAACUUCCACCCCACAACUACACCUAGGAGGAGAUGUUUGUUAAACACCAAAUUCCAGUCUCUGGGAUAAUUAACAUGCUGGCAAGCCUCCUGCAGCGAUAUCUGGUGGCCAGUUGUUAGUACAUCCAAUUGCACAUACUUGCAAUUUGAUCUUCACCAAUGCAAUUUCCUUUCCUUCUUUAGGAAUUCUUUUACUGCCUGUAUGCCCAAGGGAUAGAUGGAGAAGAUAGCUGUAUACAAACUGCUUCAAACUGUGAGGCUAAUACUUCAGAGAUGAUUCUACUUCUGUUUAUAGCCAUGCUGUGCUCUACAAGGCCCACUGUAACAAGCUGUGACAUUCAGCAUUAGAGGAAAAAAAAAAAACACGGGGAAAUGUAUUUUCAUGUAUCCAAAAGGGCCCUUUUUGUAAUUGAUUAAGGUCACAGGCCUAUAUGAGAGACUGUGGAUUAUCAGUGGCAGAGAGGCAAAAUGACAUGCAGAGAGCUGUCAUUUAGUAGGAUCUUCCUCCUUCUAGAAUAGAGUAAAUCACUGUUUUCCUUUAAAGACAAUUUAGCACUGUUUAAGCAUACAGGAAAGCAGAUUUGAAUUAGUUGGCUGUAGAAAUGACCGUAGCUGUAUACACAAUGCCAAGGGACAGGACAGCCUGCCCCUGGGUUUGCCUCUGCCCCAAGUCGCUGAGCAUUGCAGAGCUCAGAUUGUGCAGGGCAGAGGGAUCUUAGCAAAAACGGAAACAUCUGAGGAAGCAUUAGAGCUUUACUUUCAAUAAAAGCAUUGUUUUAGAUUGUGAUUCAUACUUGUACGGUAUCUGUAGAAUGUCUUUCAGGUACUUGGGUAGCUUAAGAUCUUUUGGGAAGUUUAACAUCUUUAUUUUUUUCAGCAGCCUUUGGAUGGCAAAGCCAUUCAUCUCAGAGACAAUUAUUUUCCUGCGCUCUGUGAAUUUCUGCGUGAGACUCAUUGAAAUGUUAACUGUCGGAAAUGACCGUGGCCUUUCUCUGGUUGGUUUCUCCAGCAAAGGUCAGGGCAGUCCGCCAGGACAGCUCGCCAGUGACACUGCUUUAUGGACCUGCAUUCUCGCUGACACCACUACAGCAGUGGGCAAUGGAGCAUUAGGAGAAACCAUGCUGCAAAAGUGGGAUGACAUUUCUGGAGAGGAUUUAAUAGAGAUAAGGGCUAGGAAGGUUCUUUGAGGUAGAGGAAACAAAACCCGAUUUCUCCUCACCAGACUUCCAGUUCCAGGAUCUGGAUCAAAUGACUCCUACUUAUCAUACCUCUACCCCUACAUUGAAGGAAUAGAUGCCUGAAAACCCAGCUUGUGUUACCAAAUAAAUGGCAAGAAUAUGGGAUUCUUUAUCCGUGCUGCAGGGGCUGCCCUCCUUCAGCUUUCUUCUCCUUAAAAACCAACCUAGGGCAUCCAGUUCCUGUGCCCCACUCGAUAGCACAGCAUCGCUUAACUCACAGAACCAGUUCUCGACACACCAGAAAACAGCAGAUUUAAAAUUCUCGGUGUAGUCUUUUCAGCCCCUCGCCUGGCACACUUGUGUUCUCACAGACUCGCCCAUGACACUGCCAGACUGCAGACUUUCCCACAGGAUACAUGCCUCAUGCUGUACAACAGGAUAAUCACACCCAGUAGCAGAAAUAAAUUAGCAUAGCAAUCUUAAUCUGGUAUUUCCUAAUUUUCCUAAUUUCCUUAUCCUUCGAUAUUCAGCCGUGCUAAUCUAAACAAUAUUCUUUUACUGUAAUUUUUGGACUUUACCAUUUAAAUAUAUGUAUACGUAUUUGUAUAUCUCUCCCUCCGCCUGUCACUGUUAAUGUAUUGGUAAACACAAAAGAAAAAGAUAAAAGUCAUUUGUUUUUAAUUCUUUCGGAACCCUUUGAUCUCUCCUUGCUUGUUUUAGCAGCUGCCCAACUGUUUUUUCUCGUAUGUAAACUUCAAAGUCACUCAGAGGUCAAAGCUCAUAUGAAGACAGACCGAGGAGAACAACAGUGGUGAGAACACGCAAUGCGGAGAAGCUGGGGAUGUCAGUGGCAGCACAUUGCCUCCCUCUAGGUGCGGGGCAAAUGACCUAUUGGAUGCGGCAUGCCACGAUCUGAGUACCUGAUAUUGUUGUUGAAGCUUCUGGGCUCACUGGGAAAUUGUCUCACAGAGAAAAGAAGGGCACAGCCACUCUCUGCUGGACUUGACAUUCUUUGACUGGUCUCGGUUCAGGCAAUGUGGAAAUAGCUAAAUAGAUCACCGUGAAAAUACUGGAGAAAAACAGCCUUUUCGUGGUUUGUGUUGAAUGCAGAGGGCUUUGGGGUUGGGUACAAGUUCAGAUAGCAGCUACAAUAGAAUUUAAAUUAUUUCCCACAGAUGUAUUAGCUUGCAUUUGUUGCUUCUUCCACUUCCACAGUAAAUUCCCACAGGCACUGUGGGAAGAGAGCAUCCUUCCGUAGCGCUGGGCCUCCUCACGAGGGCUAAGAAGGGUUUCAGGCUUAGGAAGUACUUGAAAUGCUCCUGAUGCAAGGAGCACAUCUAAUGUGUGACUUAUUGUCCCUUGUUAAUGCAACUAGAAGCCACGUUGUUCUCUGCAGCUUCUCACUCAACAGACUUUUUUUACCGGUUCCAGGACACUUAGCAUCAUUCUUUUUCCUUAAUGAGCUUCACAUCAGUUUUCAUUUUAGCUAAGAGUAUUAAUUUUCAGGCCAGUUUCAAUGAGUUUUGCAAGAAUUACAGUGGUCCUCACUUUUUCAUUAGUGACUCUUCACCACUAACACAGCUCUGCUUACUCCUGAUUUCCAUGCCCCUAAGCAUUAAUGCAAAAGUAAAGAAGUAAAAAAAAACACAGAGAGAGAAAAGAAAGAAAAAGUGUUGGUGUGAGAAGAGAAAGUGUGAAGUGGCUCUGUGAAGAGCCAUGUGGGUGCAAAGAGAAGCCACAGGGAUGCAGGAAAAAGCAGCUGGAAAACAAGAGUGUGGAGAAAAAGGAGGCUAGGAGGAAGGGAAAGGGGAGCAGGAGUGGGAGCGGGGAGAAUAUGGAUGGUCCUAAGGAAGGGGAUGGGGUAAUUAAUGGGCAGGAAUGAAAGCCAAAUAAGGAGCACAGAGUGAUGUAGUUUAUGCAGUGAGAAAAAGAGAUGGCCUUAGCAGCAGUGCUUUGCUGUGAUGUGUACUCAGCUUGGAGUAGCUGUCAUGGUUCAGGAGACAGCCUAGGAAAGAAGAUUACGGCUUCAUUUGAAUCCUUUCCUAACCCAGGGUCUCUCCAUAUCAAGGAUGACAUAAAGGAUGAGUAUUGUGUUGCACUGAAUGACAACUGGAGUUCGCUGGGGUUUGUGCAUUGUCACUGAUUCUAAUGCCUUUUGUGUUGUGCCUGCUGAAAACAAAGGUCAAGUACCAGCACAUUCUGCUUUCUGUGGGAGAUUUAAUUAAAUCCGAAGGACAAGGGCAGAGUACUGGAAACCACUACCAGCGGGAAAUAUGCUUCAUUUUGUAUUACCAUUUUUCAAUUUCAGUUUGUCCACAGCUGCUUUGUAAUUAUGUUGCAUUUUAUUUUGGUGCGAUGACAGGAGAAUAAACAUUUAAAUAUC